GACGAACGCUGGCGGCGUGCUUAACACAUGCAAGUCGAACGGAAAGGCCCUGCUUGCAGGGUACUCGAGUGGCGAACGGGUGAGUAACACGUGGGUGAUCUGCCCUGCACUUCGGGAUAAGCCUGGGAAACUGGGUCUAAUACCGGAUAGGAGCCAUUUUUAGUGUGAUGGUUGGAAAGUUUUUUCGGUGUAGGAUGAGCUCGCGGCCUAUCAGCUUGUUGGUGGGGUAAUGGCCUACCAAGGCGGCGACGGGUAGCCGGCCUGAGAGGGUGGACGGCCACAUUGGGACUGAGAGACGGCCCAGACGCCUACGGGAGGCAGCAGUGGGGAAUAUUGCACAAUGGGCGCAAGCCGGAUGCAGCGACGCCGCGUGGGGGAUGACGGCCUUCGGGUUGUAAACUCCUUUCGCUAGGGACGAAGCUUUUUGUGACGGUACCUAGAUAAGAAGCACCGGCUAACUACGUG
rnacentral:rRNA from 1 species